GCCGCGUGAGGGACGACGGCCUUCGGGUUGUAAACCUCUUUUAGUAGGGAAGAAGCGAAAGUGACGGUACCUGCAGAAAAAGCACCGGCUAACUACGUGCCAGCAGCCGCGGUAAUACGUAGGGUGCAAGCGUUAUCCGGAAUUAUUGGGCGUAAAGAGCUCGUAGGCGGUUUGUCGCGUCUGCUGUGAAAACUGGGGGCUCAACCCCCAGCCUGCAGUGGGUACGGGCAGACUAGAGUGCGGUAGGGGAGAUUGGAAUUCCUGGUGUAGCGGUGGAAUGCGCAGAUAUCAGGAGGAACACCGAUGGCGAAGGCAGAUCUCUGGGCCGUAACUGACGCUGAGGAGCGAAAGCAUGGGGAGCGAACAGGAUUAGAUACCCUGGUAGUCCAUGCCGUAAACGUUGGGAACUAGAUGUAGGGACCAUUCCACGGUUUCUGUGUCGCAGCUAACGCAUUAAGUUCCCCGCCUGGGGAGUACGGCCGCAAGGCUAAAACUCAAAGGAAUUGACGGGGGCCCGCACAAGCGGCGGAGCAUGCGGAUUAAUUCGAUGCAACGCGAAGAACCUUACCAAGACUUGACAUAUACGAGAACGGGCUAGAAAUAGUUCACUCUUUGGACACUCGUAAACAGGUGGUGCAUGGUUGUCGUCAGCUCGUGUCGUGAGAUGUUGGGUUAAGUCCCGCAACGAGCGCAACCC
rnacentral:rRNA from 1 species